rnacentral:misc_RNA from 1 species
GAUGAAGAACGUAGCGAAAUGCGAUAAGUAGUGUGAAUUGCAGAAUUCAGUGAAUCAUCGAAUCUUUGAACGCACAUUGCGCCCUUUGGUAUUCCAAAGGGCAUGCCUGUUCGAGCGUCAUUUGUACCCUCAAGCUUUGCUUGGUGUUGAGCGUCUUGUCUCUAGCUUUGCUGGAGACUCGCCUUAAAGUAAUUGGCAGCCGGCCUACUGGUUUCGGAGCGCAGCACAAGUCGCACUCUCUAUCAGCAAAGGUCUAGCAUCCAUUAAGCCCUUUUUUUUCAACUUUUGACCUCGGAUCAGGUAGGGAUACCCGCUGAACUUAAGCAUAUCAAUAAGCGGAGGA